rnacentral:rRNA from 2 species
GAUCCAGCAAUGCCGCGUGUGUGAAGAAGGCCUUCGGGUUGUAAAGCACUUUUGUCCGGAAAGAAAUGGCUCUGGCUAAUACCUGGGGUGGAUGACGGUACCGGAAGAAUAAGCACCGGCUAACUACGUGCCAGCAGCCGCGGUAAUACGUAGGGUGCAAGCGUUAAUCGGAAUUACUGGGCGUAAAGCGUGCGCAGGCGGUUGUGUAAGACCGAUGUGAAAUCCCCGGGCUUAACCUGGGAAUUGCAUUGGUGACUGCAYGGCUAGAGUGUGUCAGAGGGGGGUAGAAUUCCACGUGUAGCAGUGAAAUGCGUAGAGAUGUGGAGGAAUACCGAUGGCGAAGGCAGCCCCCUGGGAUAACACUGACGCUCAUGCACGAAAGCGUGGGGAGCAAACAGGAUUAGAUACCCUGGUAGUCCACGCCCUAAACGAUGUCAACUGGUUGUUGGGGAUUCAUUUCCUUAGUAACGUAGCUAACGCGUGAAGUUGACCGCCUGGGGAGUACGGUCGCAAGAUUA